GACGAACGCUGGCGGCGUGCUUAACACAUGCAAGUCGAGCGGUAAGGCCCUUUCGGGGGUACGACGAGCGGCGAACGGGUGAGUAACACGUGGGUGACCUGCCCUCAGCUCUGGGAUAAGCCUGGGAAACUGGGUCUAAUACCGGAUAUGACUCCAUGACGCAUGUUGUGGGGUGGAAAGCCUUGUGCGGCUGAGGAUGGGCCCGCGGCCUAUCAGCUUGUUGGUGGGGUGANGGCCUACCAAGGCGACGACGGGUAGCCGGCCUGAGAGGGCGACCGGCCACACUGGGACUGAGACACGG
rnacentral:rRNA from 1 species